GACGAACGCUGGCGGCGUGCUUAACACAUGCAAGUCGAACGAAGUGGCGAACGGGUGAGUAACGCGUAAUCAACCUGCCCUUCAGAGGGGGACAACAGUGGGAAACGACUGCUAAUACCGCAUACUGAAGGAGGGGAUUGCGUUGGAUUAGCUAGUGUGAGGGGUAACGGCCCACCAAGGCGAUGAUCAGUAGCCGGGCUGAGGUGAGGAACUGCCACAUUGGGACUGAGGCACGGCCCAGACUCCUACGGGAGGGAGCAGGGGGGAAUCUUCCGCAAUGGACGAAAGUCUGAAGGAGCAACGCCGCGUGAUUGAUGACGGCCUUCGGGUUGGAAAGCUCUGUUAAGCGGGACGCGGUACCCGAAUAGAAAGCCACGGCUAACUACGUGCCAGCAGCCGCGGUAAUUC
rnacentral:rRNA from 1 species